CCGAUUCCUGAGGGAGGAGGCGGGAUGUGCCGGUUUUUCCAAGAAGCAGGAGAACACCCGGCGCGGGGGCGCUUCAAGGGACGGGAAACGAGGCCGAGGGGGUGGGGGCAGGGCCGGAUUUAGGUUUGAUGAGGCCUUAAGCUACUGAAGGUAAUGGGGCCCUUUAUAUGUCCAGCUGUCCUUUCUCAACAAUUUGUCGCUGUUUUUUGUGCUGAAUACUGUAUAUGCUUUAUGGUAAUUGAUGGACCUAACAGGUAUCUAAAGCCAUUUGCACAUGCAGAAUGCCGGCACCCUAUAUAUAGAAAUGAGCAAACCAGUGAUAUUUUAGGGAGCAGGCUAGCAGGCGGGGCCCAUUGCUUACAUCCCAGGAGCCUACACAACACAAAACGCUGUUGCUGUAUGUAGGUUUUAUUUUACUUGUUUUUUAUCUUAUAUUUGGAAAUGUACACCCAGUUUUUCCCCCUUUAAUUUUUUUUGGGGGCCCCAAGAGAGUGGGGCCCUAAGCUAUAGCUUGUUUAGCUUAUAUGUAAAUUGUGGGGGAGCGUGUGGCGGCGGCUGCACAUUGUGAGAGAAAUGUGCUCGCUCCCUGAAAAGAGAAGAAGUGCCCUUCUGAAAAAUUAUCCUCCCCCACCCUAGCAAAACAUCCUAAAUAUAAACCAUCCCGUUUUAGCACACAAAUCAAGAUGUGCUCCUUCCAAUGGUUUCACGGACUUGAGGCUGGAAGGGGGUUGUUUUCUGGCGCUGCAAUCGGUUAGUUGUCACGAUAGCAUGAUUGCAAUAUCUUCACAUUCUUUUGAGGGGAGUUGGUGUUCAAGAAGCACUGGGAAAGUGAGGCUUUUAAAAGAAUGGUAAACGUGGAAUUAGGCAGCGUUCAAACCAUGGAGGUGGGGUUCCCCCCCCCAAAGGGUAGCGUCAUUCCUUUUUUAUUUUUUUACUUUUAUAUACCAGCAUUUCUCCAUGAUGUGCAAGGAGAGGCCACACGUGGUUCCUCCCUUCCCUGUUUUAUCCAGCAACAACCCUGUGAGGUAGGUUAGGCUAAGAGACGGUGACUGGCUCAAGGUUGCCCAGUGAGCUUAAUGAGUGAGUGGGGAUUUGAACUCUCAUUCCAUAAGUGCCAUAGGAGCCAACUUCUAGGGGCUGUGGGGGCUUCAUAAAGUAGAUGGGCAUUUCCAUUCAAAUGGUGUGUGUGCACUGUGUUGAUUAUGCGGGGUGGCCACUCUUUUCUUCCCAACCCUAUACAGUACUGCAUAUAACACCAAUGUCUAACAACAAAUGUAACUGAAGAACCUGAAGAGACAGUGCAUGUGCUUUUGAAAACAAGGGGAAGUUAUUAUUUUUUUAAAGAAGAAAAGGAGUGUGUGGCAGCCCCCAGUAUUUAAAGAGCCCCCACCCCUAUUACAUAUAAGAACCAGAACAUAAACCUAUGAAACUAGAAAAGAGCAAAAAAUAUCAAUGUUUGGUCUAGAUCCUAGGUACUGCACCCUCACUAAAGGAGACUGUAUGGAUGAUUCACUAAAUGAUUGUAGGAUGGUGUGUAUACCUGAGCUUAUGGCCUCAAAUUCUCUUUAUCUUAUAUGCUGCUUUAUUACAAAAAUGACGACUAGACUACUGAUCCUAAAAUGAAUAGUUAGUUGCUCAACCACCCCUUCCAGAACCCACUGCUCUCAACUGACUCUCAACUGCCUCACAUUCAAACUCCCUUUCAAAUCCUCAUCCAAUCCUCACUCACCACCAGAAUUCCACACUCUCCCUUUCCCCCUCCCUCCUUGACAUUCCCAUAAUAAUUCUGAUACAAUUACCUUAAUAACCCUAUUACAUUCAAUAUUUUAUACAUGAUGCUCCCUAUAAUCAUACUGUUAGAAGCAGUUGAGCUUUCCAUUCCUGGUUCCUAGGAAAUGGGGGUGAGCAAACUGCAAGUUCUUUAUCCCUGUUCUAAAAACCAAAUGUCUUCCCCCAAAUGAUCCUGGGAAUUGUAGUUUGUUAGGGGUUCUGGGGAUUGUAGGUCUGUGAAAGGGAAGCCACAAUGGCAUGAAUCAUUUCGGGGGAAGUCAUGUGCUUUAAAGGUGCAUUGGAUGCUCUUUAAAAUAUAGCAUCAUAGAAUUGUAGAGUUGGAAGGGACCAUGAGGGUCAUCUAGUCCAACCCCUGCAAUGCAGGAAUCUCAACUAGAUGAUCCAUGACCGAUGGCCAUCCAAGCGCUGCUUAAAAACCUCCAAGGAAGGAGAGUUACUGCUUCAGGCCCUAAGGGCUUCUAGAGCAGGAGAAAGCAAGCUUGCUCCAUCCUCCAUGUGACAGCCCUUUAGACUUUAGUUAUUGAAAGGACUGCAUGGUGUGGAUCUCAUAUCAGUGUUAUGAGAGUGUAAGCAACAGAUUUCUCUCUCCCCUUUCUCCACACCAUGCAGAAUUACAAUGGUAACCAGAAGCCUGGAGUUUGGAGCCCAGCCAGGGCUGGCUGUGGGCAGGAUCCUUGCAUUGCCGGGGGUUGUACUAGAUGACCCUUGGGAUCCCUUCCAACUUUGCCAUGCUCUGAUUAUAUCAAGCAGCUAAAGGAACAAAAAGAUGCUUCUGAAACAUUUGGGAAUCAUAGGAAGACUCUCCCCACCAGUGGCUUCCAGCAAGAGCUUGCAUCUUCCUUAGAAGAGAGGCAGGCCAGAACAAGGGGGGGAAGGCUCAGAGUUCAGGUAGGUAGAAAUGCCAGUUGAGUGCCCUAUACUAUAGGAAUGCUUCCUUCCCGUGUCCCCCACCCUCAUGCGCCAGACUGGAGCUAGCAUGGCUGGGAGCCAGGUGCCUGCUCAUUCCUCCAUUUUCUUUGCAGGGAGGGAGACUUUCCCCAACAUAUACUUUGUUCUGGCCAAAUCCCUGGAGUGACGUAACGACUGGGGCAGAGGGGUACUGGGGCAGAGGGAAGGAAGGGGUCCUUGAGAAACACAUUUGGGGAGUCUGUGGCUUCCAGCAAGUGCUUUUCAGAAGCAUUACUCCCUCCCAACAGGGGAGGCUGAGCAUAGCCAUCACAGCUAGUUGCCUUUGAUAGGCCUCUCCUCCAUGCAAUUGUCUAGCCGUCUUUGAAAGCCAUCCCAUCCAAGAUGCUCUUGUGAUGCAUCUGAUUCUCCUAUGCUUCCUUGCCCCCGCAAGGAGAUGACUAUUGUUAGAUCCUUUGGUUAACAUCUAUCUGGGCUGGAAAAUAUUAAGAAUCAGAGGACUGGUGAGCUUCCCUUGAAGCACAACUGAUCAAAGACAGGCAGAUCUGUUAGCACCUUGAUAAAGAUGCUCAGACGACAAAGGAUGCUAUCAUACUCCGCAAGCAUCUCAGAAAAAGCUCCCAAGCUGAUGGAGAAGAGAGCAGUUAAGUGGUCAGUGUCAGAAGCAGGGACACAUGAUCUGAACCACCGAGGUGCGCCAAGGUCUUGACCUCAUAUGCCCGUCUAAUGUUCGUAUACACCUUGUCAAGAGUAUUUUCUCCCCUUGUUGCACACUCAAUGUGCUGAUGGAAUUUUGGGAGUACUGCCCUCACAUCUGUGUGAUUGAAGUCCCCCGCAAUAAUGUGCACAGCCUCCGGGUAUCUGCUCAAUUUAGCAUUGAUGUUUUCAUGCAUACUGCUCAUGGCCCUGCAUGUAUUUGCAGUUGGUGCUAUGUACACCGCUGUUAACACCACUGUUGUAAAUUCCCGGGGAAGAUAGAAAGGUCUGCAUUUAAUUGUCAGAAAUUCCACAUCCGGAGAACAGUAGGUAUCCAACUUGACAGAGUCCGUGCACCAGUUUUGAUUUACAAAAAUACACACACCCCACCUUGUUUCUUGCCAGAAUCCUGUGUCCUGUCCCACCGGUACGUUGUAAAACCUUGUAAUUCAACAGCUGUGUCUGGAAUAGCUGAAUUUAACCAUGUCUCUGUGAGUAUCAGCACACAACAAUCCCGGAUGUCUUCCUCCACUCCUACACGAAGCCUCCAUUCGUCAAGUUUAUUUGCCAAUGAUCUCACAUUAGCGUAAAAUAUACUUGGAAGAGGUAGUUUGCAUCGUUGUUUCCUUAUCUUCCUUUUUUCUCUCUUGAAAAGCACAUGUAAAACAAUCACUCUUUUCCACUUCCUCUUUCAGCUCUAUGUCCUUUUCAGUAUUAAUUCUGCUGUUCUCUUGCAAAAGCAAUAUGUGUGUGCGCAUGUGCUUUAUCACUUCUUGUAUCUUUGUGGGAUAGUAUGAGGGAGAGGGGUAAGAAGUGACCAUUGAACUAGCACACACAGCACUUCCUCAAAAAUCCAAGUGUGCCAGUGGGCAUAAAACUGGUCAGCAACCCCUGAUUUAUAUCAUGGAGUGAAGAGGUUUUGCAGACCUGCACCACAAUCCUGUAAGCCAGGGGUUGCCAACCCAGCACCUGCGGGUGCAAAGGCUUAAUGGAUUGUAUUCCAGGAUAGGCUAUGUAUCCUGAAUGGCAUGCUGGAGAAGCUUUAGCUGGGAACUUUGGGUGGCAGCCAGUAGUUUGGUUUCUCUCUAGACAUGUCCUUUAGUAGGUCAGUCAUGGUUACCUACUUUGACUUCUUAAUCUGUUUCUUCACUCUCCCAGGUGAACAUUGCAGUUUUAAGUGGCUGGUGUAAAUCCUAUAGGAGUUUGUCCUUGUCUGAAGGUCUGCAGAAAAUGUGGCUACGUUUGAUGUUUAGUUGACAAUAGAUCAUGUGAUACGCUCUUCAUGGUAAAUAUAGUAGUUUGUUGGUAUCUGGCAUAAUAAGACAGUGUUUAUAUGCCAAUUGAAUAGUUGCACAGUGGUGUUCAGAAAGUGAACCUGCUGUGUAGACUUGUGAAGAAUCAGUUUGAUGAUGAGGUGGAAGUUGCUCCAAUUCUAGCUGUAUUUCUCAAGGUCCCACCCCUCAUACUGGUUUCCCUAUCCUUUCUUUAUGUAUCCAGCUAGUCUGAAUGCUAAUGCCUCUUCUCUGCAAGGCCAUUGGGGUUGGGUUUUUUUGUUUUGCUCUGCUUCCUUGCAGAGGGCAACCCUCCCCUGCAUGAGGUUCAAAAUACUCCCAUCCUGAUGCCCAAAAGUCAGCAGAAAAACUGGAGUUUUUCCAGGCCCUAGUACCACCUGAGAUAUUUGUACAUAUAAUAUACUGUAUAUCAAGCACUGAAUUCCCUCUGAAUAAAGGCAAAGAAAAAUCAUAGAACACACCAGUAAGCCAAUUACUAAAGGAGCUGAUCCUUUCAGCAAGGAAUAAUAAUAAUAAUAAUAAUAAUAAUAAUAAUAAUAAUAAUAAUUUAUUAUUUAUACCCCGCCCAUCUGGCUGGGUUUCCCCGGCCACUCUGGGCGGCUUCCAACCGAAUAUGAAAAACAAUAAAGCAUCAAACAUUAAAAACUUCCCUAAACAGGGCCGCCUUCAGUUCUCUUUUAAAAGUAAAAUAGUUGCUUAUUGCCUUGACAUCUGCUGGGAGGGCGUUCCACAGGGCAGGCACCACUACCAAGAAGGCCCUCUGCCUGAGCUCCUAAUCAAAUUAAUUUGUGAAUAAAGGCCAAGUGUAAUGCAAGCUUUGGUAUUACAGCUGCAGUCCUAAGAACACUUGCUUGCUGAUUUACAUAUAUGCUCACCAAAUAUUACACAGGCUGCCCAAGAUGGCAGCUUAAUAUUGUAAAUGGGUCAUUUAGAUAUACAAAACAGGUUGGUGGCAACAGGUUCUUUUAACUUUCCAGAUUUUUCUUUGAAAUAGUAAAUGGAAUUAAAUUGGGGGAAAAUAUGGACUGGCAUUUUCAUGCCAAUGGUGUUGUGUGUACUUCCUGCACAAUUAGCACACAUCCCACAAUAAUCACCCAUCUGUAAGCACCCACAGAUAAAAAUAAGGGCAUACAGGAUAACUGUACUUUCCCAUAGUAAGAAUCAUCAAGCAAGUCAGUUCCCUACCCCUGUUACAUAAGGCUACAGCCUCUUCUUGUGAGCUGUGUGCUGCAUUCAUUUACAAUGCACAAGAAACAAUAUUUUAUAGAGAGCUUGGAAAAGAAGAUGAACACUGCAGAAUGACAACCUGAGACGUUCACACUCGCAGAAUUUUUAACAAGGCAUUCACAAAAGGGGAAAGAAGUGUCAGUGAUUGAUUAAAGUCAAGAAAUGAGAAAUGUUAUUGGUAAAUAAAAGGUACUGUAAAGGUAAAUGACCCCUGGACAGUUAAGUCCAGGCAAAGGCGAUUAUAGGGACGCGGGUGGCUCAGUGGUCCUGGUAAAUAGGGGCAGCUGGAAGAACAUAAGGGCUUAAGUACCAUUAAGCUGUGUUCUUAGAAAAUAGGUGUAAGUUCAAAAGGCAAGUGGUUGAACUUAAUAAAACUGCAUGCUUAUUAAACGCAUGGGCAAGGGUUGCCAUAAUGGCAUUUUUUCUCAGAGUUCUCUGCUGGCUUUAUCACUAACCAGCCUUAUAUUGCUAGACCUAUUUGUUUCGCUGUGCUUGUUUUUCCACUGACUCCUAACAUUUUCUGAAUUUACUCUCCCCCUUUUGAAUCCUCAGACAGCUGUUGAAGCUCUGUCUCCCUAGCAGCAGUGUUGACAAAAACAAAAGUCACUAAGGCUGAAAUCCUAUACCCACCUGGCACUAAAUCCCAUUGAGCUUAAUAGGUAAACAUGCUGUAGCAGUGCAAUCCUAUACCUAUCUGCUCAGAAUCAAGUCCCAUUGAAUUUACAUGGGCAAAGGAUUGCAGCCUUAAUCAAGAGAUUUAACAAACCAUUAAAAUUUAAAAAUAGGUUAACAUUAGCUGCUUUUUUUGACAUGAUUAUAUUGGCAGAGAAAGCUGUUUGGAUUAGCUUGGUUAAAGUUUAUUCAAUCUGCCUGCAGGGUAUGGGCUGCUGUUCUGCAAAUGGGUAUAAACAUCGGGGUGGCAACAGGGUUGGAGUUGUUUUUCAGAAAUGUCCUUCCUUGUAAUGGUCAAUCAAAACUUGGAAAGGAAUCAUAAAGAAAGAAAGAAUCUGUAGAUUUGCUAAUCCUGUUUUGCUGACUUUGAUCAUAGCCAUUUUGCCCUCAGAACAUUCCAACAGGAGUUACAUAUUUAAUUUUUCCAAGCCAUGAAGCUGUUCAGUAACCCUCACCUCCCUGCAAAAUAUUCUAUACAGACUUUAAAAUACAGUGAAAUGAAAAGAACAACUAGAGCUGUUGGCUGUUAAUCCAGCUUUCCCCUAUUGAUAACCUAUAAUGCACAAUUAAACAGCUUUGUCAGCUUGCUGGAUGCGGAAGACAUUUUAUCUCAAUGUGAAGUUUAGUAGGGGAAAGUUCACGGAGCUGUGAACAAAGACUUUCCAUUCGGUGUGUGGCAGCACUGAGAUACUUUGCAUUGCCUCCACGGCUCAAGUUUAGUGGGGGAAAGGUCAUUUCUAGCGGCAGAGGCACUGAACAACAUCCUCCCUGCUUCUCAUAUUUCGUAGAAGUCAGAGUACAGUAUUUGGAUCACUUCCCCACUGCACUAAGCCUAGAUGGUAAAAAAUGUGUCUGCAUCCAGAAUAAACUUGCAGUAACAAACAUUCAUCUUCUGUAAACAGGAGGCAGCCUUCUACAUUUUUCUCUGGUUGUGGAACAGUUUACUUGACCCAUUUGGAACACCCACAAACCUCUUUUAAUACCCAAUGUACCUGCAUUUUAAAUUUAAAUAUUUUUACCAGAGGUUCAAAUGGAGGGAAAAAGUUAUUAAAAUCAUUUUCCAUGCACAGCCUACAUGGUCCCUUGCCUGUCCAUAUGGCAAAUGUCGGGUACAAUGAGCUGUGUAUGGGCUGAAGACUGAUGCAAGCAUGACCACCUUGUGAAUUGUUCAGUCUGGUGAGAAGGCCUCACCUCCUCUGAGUUAGCCAGGCUGAUGUGGCUUUGGAGUUUAGCAAGACUGGCACUAGUAGUGUGGCUGAACUUUAUUUUUAUUUCUAUUUUUGGCCCCUUAAUUUUGAUUUUGCCCUGUUGUGUAUAGUCUGGAUUAUUUCACUGAAGUACUGACAAAGGGAUAUUUAUUGUUUUUUUCUUAUUUGACAGUAUUGAUAGGUUAUGUUAAUAAGCUUUUCAUUGUUUUCAAGCAUUGUUUAUUUGGGUAAUAAGCUGGAGGUUUUUUUCCUUAAGUGAUUCAUAAAUUUUACAAAACAAAUAAAUAAAUUACCUUUCUAGAAGCUUCUAAGAUUGUUGUUUGCUCUAGUAAAAUGUUUGGCCCAAUGCAAGACAUGAUACUCUCUAUCUUUCUCCCUCUCUAUCAUAUUUUGAUGGAGAGAGCAUCACCUAGCAAAGGCUUCUAGCAUGCUUGACUAUACUUAAAUAAGUAUAAUGCACCAAGAAAACUGGAACAGUCAGAUAAUGUCAGUCCUUCGCAGUCAGUUGACAUUUCAAAUGAUGCACCUAAAGACCUUAAAGUAGAGGAGAUUCUCAGAGAACACAACAAGAUUAUAUAGGACAAGUACCAAUUCACUCUUGCUGAGUAACAGUUCAUUUUGAUUUCAUAACCUGUGAAGUGGUAUGUUAAAAAUAAUGAACUGUAAGGAAACUCAUGAAGAGUGUGAUUAUCAAAGCUUACUGCAUCUGACCUUUGUUUGCUGACUUUUAUUGUAAGGCAGUCAAGACAGAUAAUUUAUAUCAUCCCUUUCCUGUACUUUUUAAUGACCUUAGAUUUAAUUUUUUUAAAAAUUGGAUGCAUCAAACAAAAAGUUAGGCAGCCAAACAAAAUGAAGGCAUCCUUAUGUAUUAGAACUUCUCAAGGUUGUUAUUUAUAAACAGUGUCUUAAAAGCUAAGCACAUUUCCUAGCAGGGAAACAUGACUCCUUGCCCUUAUCCAGACAUGCGUCAUACCUGUUUUUGUGCAUCCAUUAUGUCUCACUCUUUUUAAAUAAAACUUCCUCUUUAUGGCUGCUUUUCAGAAAUAUUGCGUGCAAUGUUUACCAACUGGUGCUGAGCAAUGCAUUUUCAUUUGGCUGGCUCUGGCUGCGUGGGAAUCCUAUUGAGAAGACUGGCAGCAUAUGUCUAUCAGCAAGGAGCAGUUGACUGCUCCUGCUGAUACAAACAUAAAGAACAAGGAUAGAUUUUUUUUUCCAGGUCACAACCUGAAAAAUGAAUUAUAGAAUAAAUUUCUAUAAUUUAAAUAUAGCAGGGAAGGCUGUAACCAGAUGACCUGGACACUUGCUCACUGUGCUAUCCAUCUGGUAACAGUUGAUGGGCAACUCCAAGGCCCCUCCUUCUCUUCUUAGGGUUCUUUAUGUUUAAAUCAAACUUGGUUUGGACUUUCCUUCAAAUAAAGGACUCCUUUAAACAGAGGAUACAUGACCAUCCUAAGUCAGGUGUGUGGGAGAGAUCCAAAUCAGGAGUCAGGGGCCCAAUCUGGGUUGAAUCCCCUGUACCUACUAUUUACAGUACAGUAGUACCUCGGUUUUUGAAUGUCUCGGAAGUUGAACGUUUCAGUUUUUGAACGCUGAAAACCCAGAAGUAACUGCUUCAGUUUUCGAACGCUUUUCAGAAGUUGAACAUGCCACGUGGCUUUCGUAUUGAGUUUUCCGCAUAAUGCCUGUAGGAGUUGAUAGCAGUCAUUCACUUACAUGGAAGAAAGUAAAAGGGAAACCUAAAGGCAACAUUGUCUGGUAACUUGUCCUUUCAUGACCCUAAUGUCUGGGGAUGUGAACACAUCCUCUCCCCUUGUGUCUCACUGAUUGAAACCCAUUUCUUGUGUCCCAUGUUUUAAAUGGGAAACUCUGAGAACCAAACCAAUCUCUAGUUGCAUUGCCUUCCCAUAGGUUCCAUUUCUUGGUGUAGUGGAAUCUGGGAGAGUGGGAUGGAAAAUUAGAAACUCGUGUAAUAUACUUGCAAUAUAUUACUGGUGGGUGUGGUAUUUCUAGGAGGAGGAUUCAUGUGCUCAAUGGGAUCCUGACCAUGUCAACUCUGCACAAAGACACAUUGCACUCCUUGCUGGAUCCAUGUCAUUGUAGAGCAGGCCACUCAGUGUCGUGGAUGGAGAUAAGCUUGUGGAGCCUAGCUUUUGCCCUUACCACAACAGUGUCCCCUUUACUUUUUCCUGUAUGAGUGAAUAGCAAAUUUUGAUCAGAGAAUGGAAAUGAGAGCACUUGAGGACAUCACCGAUGUGGGGGCUAUGCCAUGGAGGCUGUGUACAUAGUAACUUCAACUCUGGCUCUAGUGUGUUAUCAUCACUGAUUUUUGAAUCCUUGUAUGCACAACAUAAUACAACAUCAUAUGCGGGUGGCAGGUGGCGCUGUGGGUAAAACCUCAGUGCCUAGGACUUGCCGAUCGUAUGGUCGGCGGUUCGAAUCCCCACGGCGGGGUGAGCUCCCGUCGUUCGGUCCCCGCUCCUGCCCACCUAGCAGUUCAAAAGCACUCUUAAGUGCAAGUAGAUAAAUAGGUACCGCUUUAUAGCAGGAAGGUAAACGGCGUUUCCGUGUGCUGCGCUGGUGCUGGCUCGCCAGCUGCAGCUUCGUCAUGCUGGCCACAUGACCUGGAAGUGUCUUCGGACGGCGCCGGCUCACGGCCUCUAGAGCGAGAUGAGCACGCAACCCUAGAGUCGGACACGACUGGCCUGUACGGGCAGGGGUACCUUUACCUUUACCAUUUUAUGCACAACAUCAGCCAUGAUGCGUAGCUAUUCUGUAGUUUAUUGAGAAAUACUUCUGCUUGAUGUUUCAAACCAAAAGAAAAUCUUAAGCCACAGUCACUUCACAGUUGAGCUGUGGGUCUAUGUUUGAGACAGCCACUGCACAUGUACAGAUAACAGUGCAUGCAUAGGUGAAUGAGAGUUUUGGUGGGGUUGCAGGGGCAGGAAAACUGAACAGGGAAUGUACUUUUGGUGAUGAAAGCACCCCCACUUCCUCUCUAGUGUGUACAACAAUGUCCACGUGUGACUUGAAAUGCAACUGGUGUGGGUGAGAACAACCUCGCUGCAUUUUCAGCUCCUAAUGUGUACAUAGCCAGAGUAUCCCACUUGUUCCCAUCUGCAUAGAGCCACAUGGGUUCUGUUUUUUGUUUACACUGAAGUGUGAUUGAAUGCUGAGAAACUGAAAAUACAAUGUAGGUAGAUUAAAAAAUAUCUAGCUAUUCGGUGUUUAGACCUUGUCAUGGCUCCAAUUAAUUCCUGGUCCCAGCUCGACUAAUUAUGGAACAAAUUAACUUUCCACUUUAAAACCUUUCACAUUUAUUCAGUUCUCAUUUUAAUCCCUUACUGUUCUAAGUGAGACUGUCCAGAAUUUUCCAUCUCUGAUUAUAAGUCUUCUGUUAAUCUCCACUUUACAUUUAUUAAUGGAAGUUUAGACCCAUUUGUUUUAGUACAUUCUGAACCCAUUAGAUGUUCAAGUGUCCUUUCAACUAAUCUGGGAAGAACCUUAUGCUAGACCUAGUAGACGUCAGUGAGUUGAUUAUUAUGGUGCUUACAGGCUAAUAUUAGACCACUUGCACUCAGCUGCUUGAUUGGAGGUUUUAAAAAAUAGUGAGUCAUGCCAUUUGACAGACCUUGUCUGCACGUAGUACUUUUCCUGCAUGAAGGAGCCAUGUGGCAAUAGGGUAAAUCAAAAGGCCAUGUUAAGAAAAGAAGAGUUUAGUAUUAGGUAGGUGACUUUUUUAAAGGACACAUAUUAUUUUAAUCAAACAGGGAGUUAUAAAUUCCAACAUGAAGGCAGGGCAUGUGUUCCACCAUGUGGAGUCUUACAAUCCAACAUUUAGCAAACUACUUGUAUGUGAUGAGAAAGCAGUUCAUUUGAGAGGUAAAAUGUAAGCAUUUCCCCCUCCAGUUGAUGCAAAAUAUUAUAAAAAUGACAAAUCCACAUUGCAGUAAUACCAGGAAAAGGAAAAGGUAUCUGAUGAAACUGGUAGAUGGGGUCAAGUCUGCUUGUUUGUGGAAAUGGAAGCCGGGAGUAAUUUAGCAAACGUAACAACCAGAUUUUUUUAAAAAAAUAUGAAACCACAAGGUUCUUUCUGUUAAUAUCUCCAGGAGACAAAGAACCUGAAAUUAUUGAAGCUUUUAGAUUUUCCAUUGUAAAGGAAGUAUCACUGAUAUACAUGGGCUUGGGUCUGUCAAUAUAGUGUUACUCAGAUUGGCCAAAGGUUGCAAAUUUUCCAGGAUAGGCAGAAAUUGCUGCCAUAGUGUACUUUGCUUUUUAAAGCGUUAGCGACUUUCAAAGGACAGUUUAGUGCUGCUAUAUCUGCUGACGCCACCAGUCUGGACAUGAAAUGGUAUUGGUUAUGAAAAUUAUUGCUGCUGUGUAGGCGACAGUAGCAACUUUGCAAAUACCGAUGAUUCCUGUAUUUGAAAAGAUUACACAUUUGUAAUCCACAGCAGUUUGAGCACCCAUUAAAUAUGAGUCAGGAGACUCAUUCGCUUUAUCACUGGCUUAAAGAGAGAGGAAGUGACACCGCAGCAUGUAAGCCUUGAAAUAACAAUUUAACUCAGCUAUUUCCAAUUCCCUCUUUUAUCUUUCCCCCCUUUUUGUUCAUAGUGUGUGUUGAAUAUUAAAAAUAACUCAUUUAUUUGCAGAAAUUAAUUUUGCAGCCAAAUUAUAUCCAUUAAACAUUAGUGACAGCAAAGGUUAAUGCAGCAGCAAUCAGAAUGUGCAAAUGGAAAAUAUAAGCUGCUUCCUGUGGCAGUAAUGAGGAUACACAAGAAAGCUGAGUGCACACCUCACUUUUGUUAACCCCUCUUGUGUGUUCUGCAUGGAUUGUUCCUCACCUGCAGGAUGCUGCAUGCACAACUCCAGGGUUGCCAGACCUCCAGGUCCAGCCUGAAGUCUCCAGGUUUGGUCCCCUCCAGGUGGCAGGUGGAAGGCUUGAAGCUCUAGGUGGUCAAGAGUGCCUUUAAUAAAAUAUAUAUUAUUAAGAAGACUGUGAGUGCAGCUUACAAGCUGGUUGUGAGCUGCUUUGAGACUCCUUAGGGUAGUGAUAAAGCGGGAUAUCAAAUCCAAAUAAAGCGGGAUAUCAAAUACAAGCUUCAGCCUGGUAGGAGCUGGCUACAAAUUAUAGCAUAGACAUCUCCUCUAUUUGAUAUUUUAAGUAGUGGUCAUCAGAUCUGCUUGGGGUUCAUUGCAUGAUUGGAGUGAUAAAUAUUGAACGUAUGUCCCUAUAGUAAUGAUGAAUGAAUGAAUGAAUGAAUCAAUUUAUUUCGGUCACUGACCAGAAUGCAAACAUAUACAACAACAGAGAGCAUAUAAAUAUGAAUAGAUUAAAAGUAAGCUCUACGACCUGAUACACAAGAAAUAAUUCAGAUAUAAAACAGCUAAAAUAUAUAAAAUAAAACCUUGACCGCAAAUUUAAAAUAUAUUAAGACAUUGGCUGUUAGGUUCAUUCAGAGCUUAUCUCUUUAAUUUUAUAGCAGCAGCAGCACAGAAUUUAGCCACUUUUAAGGUAAUAUCUGGUUCCCUGUCUUCAAUUAAGUAUUUUAAGUAGUAAUCAUCAGUUCUGCUUGGAAUAAUAUGAUGGCAUUGUUCCAGAAGCUUGCUGUUGCAUCAUGAUGCUGGCACAACACCUCUGUCAGUGUCACCUUGCAUCUCUGACUAUUGUAAUAAGCAGUUAAUAUAGGAUUAUUUUAUUUUAUUUUUUGCUGAAAGGAAGCAUAGAAGUGUAGUUUUGCUUUACACACAGUGCAGCUGUAGCUACAUUUCAUCAAGCUGAUAUCUAUUCAGUUGCAACUAUAUACAUAUACAGGAUCAGGUGCCUGUCUGAUAGCACACAAAGCAUUAGUAAAUAAGUAUCACGAUGAGUUUCAUUCUGUGUUCUAUUUUUAACCUUUCACGGCCAUAGCAAAGGGAAACAGGUGUGAAAACAACUACUGCUUAGGCAGCUCAUCUUCAUUCAAGCAGGAUAAGUGUAAACAGAUAUGCUAUCCAUUAGGGGAAAACCUAAUAAAGCCAAAUGGCAUGAAAUCACAAGUAUGAGCUCAAGCAGACCAAAAUCUAACUCCUUGGGGAGCCUUGUCAGCAAUAUCCCAUUUCACCUCAAAUAGGUGUUAUUAAGAAUGUGCUUUGGGGAGCCACAGAAAAGCAGUAUGUAGUGUUAAGUUAUGGCAAUGCUUCCUGAAGAAAGAGAGAACAGUGUAACAGAUUGAAACAAACAGAUGUUCCAGACCUGGAGGCAAAGAAUAAUGGCAGAAUUUUAUGCUCGCAAUUUGCAAAGACGCUGAGUGGAAUGUACUGUUUCUGACCUAUGAAGUUUCUUGUCAGGGAGGGUUCUUCCUAGGCCCGUGUGUGUGGCCCUAGUGCUGUGCUCCUGCCUCACUGUCCUAUUCUGCCUAGGUCAGGGGUAACAAAUGUGGUGCCUCCAGAUGUUGUUGGACUCCAACUUCCAUCAGCCACAGGCAGCAUGGCCAGUGGUUAGGGAUGAUGGGAAUUGUAGCCCAACAUCUGGAGAGCACCCCGUUGACUGCCCAUGACCUACACACUGGUUCCAGUGCAGUGAAUUAACAUUUUUGUUAUGCUAUCCAUCUAUCCACAAACUUCCAAGUUUGCUGAAAUAUUUACUGAGAACAAUACAUCUUCAGAACUUAUACCUCUCCCCAUAAGACAAUGACUUUGUCACAAUUUGAGAUUUUUCCUAAAUAAUUUUCAUAAAGAAAUUUCAUAGAGGAAUUAGGACUAGUCUGACACACUUGGCCAUCAAGUGCUGCUGCUGCUACUAGGCCAACAAUUGUCAGGUGAUGCAAGGAGCCAAUAGGAUUCUACCUGGCCUAUGGAGAACCUUUAAAAUAUUAUAGGAUCUGUGACAGACUGCCAUAGUUAACUUAAUGGAUAAUUUGUGUCAAAGAAUUACAGACAACUCCCAAUUUACCCCGCCCCAUUCUGCCCCUUUUUGUGAUGUUCCUGUGACUUCUUGGGUCACUUAUGGGUUUAGCGUGAUGUGUGUGUGUGUUUGUGUGUGGUUGCACUCAUAUCGGACUCACCUAAAAUAAUUGCUUCCUGUAAUCUUAAAAAACCCAGCAAACUUCAGUGUCUAAACAUUAAAUAUAUCCCUGCAGGUAUCAGACUGGGACAAGAGUUCCCCCAGGGAUGCCCUACUAUUAGGCAGAGUGAGGUGGUGGCCUUAAGUGGUAGCAGUAAGUUGUAGAUAGCAGUGGCCAUCUCCCUGAUGACUGGGCUUUCCCAUUCUCCUGAGCCAGUGGCAAUAUUGGUUGUUAUUGGCCUGGACUGGUCUGAUUUGCCUAAUAAUAUAUGCUAAAUAUGUGUACCUACUUAGAUGCAGCAGCUUUGGUUCAGAAUACAAGCUUUCCUCCAAAGAGUGAUACCAUUUUAACAAAAAUGUAAUCCAAAUAAUUUCCAGUGUGACAAACAAGCAGAUCUUGGAUUCAUGUGGCCCUGUGUGUGUGUGUGUGUGUGUGUGUGUGUUGGGGGGGAAUCCCCGGCUGAUUUUUGCAGACUCUCUGUUUUUCCUCUCAGCUGUUUCCUUUCAAACAUGUUUAAAAUAGCUGACUUGGGCAGUGUUUGGUUUGGAAAGAAAUGUUUCUGUGACACUAGAGUCUCUAGUGGCCAUGUUUGCACAGUGCACCUUAUUUUGUCUCGGCUUCUUGUGAUAUACUAUACAGUGGUACCUCGGGUUAAGUACUUAAUUCGUUCUGGAGGUCCAUACUUAACCUGAAACUGUUCUUAACCUGAAGCACCACUUUAGCUAAUGGGGCCUCCUGCUGCCGCUGCACCGCCGGAGCACAAUUUCUGUUCUCAUCCUGAAGCAAAGUUCUUAACCUGAAGCAAUAUUUCUGGGUUAGCGAAGUCUGUAACCUGAAGCGUAUGUAACCCGAGGUACCACUGUAAUUUAGAGUGAAGAAAAUGAAAGAAAAGGAGGCCCAUAUGACUAGUAGCGAUUAUGAGCAGGGUUGUCCGCCCAAGGGCCACAUCAGCACCAUACAUUUAAAGCACUGUUAUACCCCAUUAAAAAUCAUGACUUCCCCCAAAGAAUCCUGAGAAUUGAAGUUUUUUAAGGCCGCUGAGAGUUGUUAGGCAACCCCCUAUUAAGACAGCUACAAUUCCCAGAAUUCCCUAGGAAGGGAGAUUGAUGGUCAAACCACUCUGGGAAUUGCAGUUAUGUUGAGAGAAUAUGGAGUCUUCUUACAACUCUCAUCCCCCUUAACAAACUACAUUCCCCAGGAUUCUUUGGAGGAAGCCAUGACUGUUUAUAGUUGUAUGCCACUGGUUUAAAUGCAUAGUGCAGAUGGGACCCAAGUCCAGCUUAAACAAAAGAAAAAGAACCCUGAGAAGGGAGGGCAAGAGAAGUCUUGAAGUUGCCCAUCAACAGCACUUGGACAGUGCACUGUUCACAAUUCUCCCCACUAUGGGGAGGUAUAAUGUAUUACUUUUAAAUCAUAGUCAUCCUAUAUCAAUGUGCAUCUCACAUGGCAGAGUGCGGUUGAGUUCUUGUCCAGCUUACUGGUUUCCCACAGGCUGGAAGGACAAACAGAGGACCGCACACUGCAGCAUUUAGUGUGAGAACAGAACCCUAGACUAGGUGGGCCACUGGCCUGAUCCACGCACUACCACCACAUGAGGUGGCUCAGGGAAGUCCUGGAAGUUGGCGGCGGAGAAAAAAAGGAGUCCAGAGAGGAGCAGGCAGUGGCAGCAGCGGUCCUGUUCUUUCCAGGCAGCACACGGGUGACAAGCACAGGAGUCAGUGAGCGGCACACUCUUCAUGGGUCCAGGUCUGUCACCUCUCUGCAGCCCAUCACCUGAGGUAAUGAGCCUAAUGGGUGGACCAGCCCUGAUGCUGAAAUCAGAUUUGGCUGACUGGUCAGUUUUUUGUACAUGGAAUGAAAGGAGGCACCAUCUUGUCAUUCACCUGAGGUAGUGAAAUGUCUUGGGAUGGCCCUGAAAUGAGUCUUGUUUCUCUCCUAAACUUUGGAGUGCUGUGAAGAUGAAGUACUUUAUGGAAGGAAAUAUGAGAAGGAAGUAAGCAAAAUGCCUUGCCAUGAUUCCCCCCCCCCUUGUUAUGGCUGGUGUGUGUGUGCGUGUGCAUUUGUGGUACAUUACUAAGAAUUCAUGGGAGGGAGGGAAAAUUAUCCAAUAGUCUCUUCUGAUAAAUUUCAGCUUGCUUAAUGUUGAACAAAACACAUUGGUUAGCUCAUAUUGGUGAACGAAGGAAACAGUAGGCCAAGGGAGAACUGGCAGGAGCAAGGGCUAGGCCUAUAUUAUUCAAAUAACAAUAUUGAAUAAAAAUAAUAUUAAACAAUAUUAAAACUAGAUCAACAGGUGCACCCAGAACUCUCCACCCUACAUGUAGAUUGUAAAAAUUGUGUGUGGGGGAGGGGGAUUUUCCUGAAUAUUUUUGUGGGAUAGGGGAGGAGAGGAAAACAAAAAUUACAGGCAUAGAAUAACAGAUGGAGGGAAGGAGCAACCUCCAAGUCAUUUGGAGAGAGUUGGAUUUGAAGAUGGGACACCCAGGUUCAAAUUUCAACCCCCUUUCCACAUUGUGAUCCGCAGCAGCUGCAGCUUUCAGUCAGCUUGUGCUGAGUGCUAACUUCCAGUUAUGUCAGUACACAGGGAGGUGGUUUUGUGUGUUCAUGCAGUGCAGUGUAUACAGCAGUGGUGGAAAACCUCUGGCCUUCAGGCCUAAUGAGGCCACUAGAUCUCACUGUUUGGCCUGCUGGGCUGUUUUGAUCAAGUCACACAUCUGAUGUCAUAUUUGCUGUCAGGUGUGGGGCAUGAAGACGUAGCUUUACUGGGCUGUGCCCUUGCAAGCACUGUCGAUCAGCUGAUUACAGCAGCUCUUGCAAAGGCACUGGCUGCUGUCCUUCUGAGCACCCAUCUUUUCCAUUCUAGUUUCAAAAAAUUUGCAGAUAAGUCAACAAACCUCUUCCUUGCUCUGGGCCUUUGUGAGUAUGGGAUUCUGGCUUAGAAGAGCAAACCUCUUACAACUUGAUUUCCGAGCUGAGUCUGGUAAUCAGGGCAAGCAGCUGGAAAGCGAUGGAAGAACAGCACUGAUGGAAGAACAAUGGUAUAAGGACAACACUGGGUCUCUAUUCAGAUAAUCAAGCAGGACUAAAUGUUGCAGUGUGGAGUCCUCUGUUCAGUGUUCCAGCCAGCCAUGCCCUCUUCUGCAAUACUUCAUUCCAUCCUCUUCCAUGAAAAAUUUGAAGGCCGAGGAUAAAAGAUUAAACAAUUAUCUAGGUUUACCCCCAUUUCCCCCCAUUUUCUUCAGGCCUUCACAUCCCUAUCUCCUACCCAGGUUUCUGCCCAAUCCCCCUCCCAGCAUUCUGUGGGCUGUUUCAGAGAGUCCCUCCCUUAGGUUUUUGUACUUUAGGAAACUUAAUGCUCCCCCGAACCUGCUGAUAUCUCUCUCUUGUGCUUGGAUGGUGCUAGUUUGGCUGCAUAUGCAACAACAUUCACCUCAGAAAUAAAGGGAAUAACUUGGAGAUAUUGUGAUAGCAUGUUUGCAUUUAAUGCAGCUCAGACCCCCACUGACGUCAAUGAGAUCACACUAUCAACCUGUGUUUUUAGCCUGCUUACGUCUGAGAGCUAGUGACUGACUUGAGUCCUCAGGUUUCAGAGCUGACAAGACUGACAACGUGCUUGAUGUCCCCAGUGGUGAAAAGGUCAUAGAUCACACACCCCACUUUAAAUGCUGUCCUUUUCCAUAUUCAUAUUACGUAUAGUAACUGGUGCUUUUUCUCCUUCCUAACCUAUCACAGUUUAUAUGUGAAAGGUCAUAGACAGCAUAGAUGUUACAGAUGAACUGCCAGAACAUGAUACUUGGCUAAUGUAAGGGAUGUCCUUCAUGUUGCCUUCCAAAUGUGCCAAGUGCUGUCUGUGCAAAUAAAGACAGCAUCUCAGUCUGGGAUUAAAUGAUCAGGUACAUGCAAGUUUCAAGGAACAUGCCACGAAUCUGAAAAUCACUAAUUUGGCAAGUAAAGAAUUGGAUGUCCGUGGCUGUUUGUUGAACUAACGUCACAAGGUGUUGGUAGAGUGACAAGUUUAGAGCUCCCUGGCAGGGCUCUCAAAUCACAGGCCUGUGGCAGGGUAUUUCAAGGGAAGAGAGGAAAGAGGGAUUCUGGGCUGUACUUAAAUGUGCAGUGUUAAUUCACUGCGGCUAUAAAAUGGCCACUCAUUCUUCAGGAAUAAUGCUGCCAACUUAUAUUUGUGUAGAGCAAUGUCUAUGGUUUUUCUUAAUGGUAAAUAUAUUAUUUUAGUUGUAUUUUAUGUUUUAAUCCUGUAUACGAGCCACAUUGGGAGAGCAUGCCCAGAAAAAUAGCAUAAAAAUACUGAAGACUGAUUAAAUAGUGAAUGAUGGCUUUGAUUGAAAUGCUUCUCCCUUUGUGCCUGCUUAUUGCCCCAAAAGGAAAGCUUCUGUUGGUGUUAGCAGAAACUUUCCUCCCAGAGCGAAUAAGUGGCACAGUUUGUAACCCUGGAGUCAGAUUCCUUGUCUUCAGGAGGUGAGGACAAAGACUCUGAAGCAGAAGGGGAAGGACAUGCAGGACCACCACCAGAAGCAUAUCCACCAGGUGAGUCAUUAGUGGCUGUGCCACAGGCUAAGGAUGUAAUGUUGCCGUUCUCAGAUUUAGUGGACUCUCAUGGCGAAGACCCGGUUAGACCAGAGGUUCCCCUGAUCAGUUACAGUAGAAGAAUUCUAGAGAAGGCUGGGCACUUUGAAGUGAAGCUGCAUCUUGCAGCACAGGUGGUGCUAGUAAUCAGGCUGUCGCUGCUUUUGCUCCUAUAGAAGGGUUCCGUUUCAGCUUGUUUCUUGUUGGAACAACCAGCCUUACCUUGUCCUUGCCUGAGAUCUGUGCUUGCCAUAUCAAGCACAUGAUGCUGCACUUCAGAUUGGGACUGCUAUACAGCAAAGGGCUAAAGCCUUGCCCCUUGCCAUGGAACUGCUCCCCGCCCCCCUGCACUGGCUGCUGUUUAAUUUUUAAAAAUAACACAAGGGUUAACAAAAUGAUUAACACCAUGUCUAGUUUGGCCUUCAGUGACAACUGACCUCAAUGAACCCUGAGUAUAAGAGAAUAUCUUUCUGAUCAGGAUUCAGGUGGAGGUAUCCAUGGCCCAGUCAGGGCUGGGCAAAGGUAUUUUGCUGCCUGAGGCAAACAAGCUGCCCAUGUACAAAAGCACUUUGACACUGGCAACAGAUAGUUUACGCCCAGUGUAGCUGAGCACAGCAGGCUAGCCCACAGGGUGCAAGGCAGGCCACACAGCACACAAUACUCUGCCCCUCAGAAUCUGCCACCUGCCUAAUGGUAGGGCUGGCCCUGGCCCAAGUCACUUCCCAUCCCCAUUAUCAAAAGUCAGUCAAAUCCAUGCUUUAAAACCCCCACAAAAACAUUUUAUGCUGUCUUUGAAAUAUCUGCAUGGCUGUGAAAGGUUUCAGGAGGUAACUGAUUCCCUCUGUACAUCUCUCCCACACUACCAUUAAACACAUUUAGAUCCACCCAUUGGCUUGUUGUUGUCGUAGAUGCCUGUGUGGUGCAGCGGUGGAGAUAAUGACAUGGUGCAUGGCUCAUUGUCUUCUUUAGCUUCCAGCCAAGCAAGCUGUGGCCAGUUGGGUUAUAUAUAGAAACAAUUAAGAUGCCGGAUUCUUUCAGCCACUGGAUGUAAGAAAACAGAUCCUAUCUCACACCACUGAAAAAUACUGGUACUUCAGUGAAAAAAUACAGGUGCUUUCUUCACCAGACCCCAAACCUUUCCUUCAAGGAGAUAAUAGUAAUAUAUAUAUAUAUAUAUAUGCACACACACACACACACACACACACACAGACAGUAGUGCUAGGCUUUGACACUAUCUUUUUGACCUAGUCAACUCAACCAAAUAUUAUUUUACUGUGUUAGUUUCAUCCAACAAACUUGCUUUCGAAUGGGUCACUGCCGACACUUUGCUUGCAUGUUACCUGAUGUGCCUGCUCUAUGGUUGCUCUAACAACCUGGUGGAUAGCAUGUCAAUUCUUAUUUGGCUAAGAACAAAUGAUAAAUACUAUACAGAGAUCCACAUUUAGUUGCCACUGCUCAGUAAUUAUCUAUAAAGAAAUCACGAGAGAGUGCUGUGUGAGAGGUGAGAGCCUCAUGGUGGUAUAUAGCUGUGAACUUGAAUUCUACCAUUUAUUAACUUCUAACAGCAGAAAAGUUGCUGGCUAUUCUUAGUAGAAGCAAAUUCCAUAUCCUGCAAUAUUAAGUAACCUCUACAGCACUAAAACACGUAUUGAGCCUGCAAAAGCAAGGAAGGAGGUCUUUUACUGUAGUGUAGGGGUUAACAUAUAUUUCCAGCAGAUUGCAUCCUAUGUACCAUGCUAGUAGCAACCUUCAUGUCCACAUGGGGCAGGCAUCGUCAGAGUGGUAAGCCACCCUAACCAAGUAUGUUGAAGAUAUAGGCAUGUUACCUCUGUCCAUUGCCCAUAGGAUAAUAUAUCCACAGCACAUCUCCUUGGGCAGCUUUCUCCUUUACUUGCUCUUCCUCUUCCUUGAUCAUCAGGGGUUUGUUCCUCUUUUACACACCAUGUGAAAGGAAGAAGUAGACCAUACCCACAAUUAAGCUCCUGUGGUUCUCUUAAGCAACCGCUCUGUUUGUACUGUUUGCAUGGUAUACUGUAAAAGUCCACACAUGCAGUGCAAAUUGUGUAUGGGGAUCUCAGCAGGAAGAACAUUGACAAAUGAUAGCACAUGCGCAGUCUCUUGACUUUGAGUCAGGACUAGACAGAUGCACUCUCUUCCCUGUAGACUUGAUGAACAGUGACAAUAUAUAUGUACCUGUGCUUUUGUAUGUUUAGGACAAAGAACAAUGAAGGGAAAAUGAAAAGAUAUGCAUAAUGAAGCCAGAAGGUUUAAGUGGGUAUUUACAAGACUAAGCAGAGAUUUAUGAAAAAUAAGCAUUUCCUUUUGAGUGACUGCUGGCUAUGAUUUUUUACAAGAAAGAUGAAUGAUUCAUGACAGAACAAGAACAUGUACAAUCAUGGCCUAAUAAUUGUGUGCAUAGUCUAUUUGCAUUUACAGGACCACAUUAAGUUAAUGGGUUCUAAAGCUGAUUCUUCAAAUGAUUAAGAAUAAAGAUUUGCUUUCUGCUUGAUGCCAAUGCUAGUAUUAAUUUAGUUGCAAAGCCACUGUACUGCAUAGAAGUAGUUAAAGGGAAUUUCGUAUUGUUAUGACCUUGCCAUUCUGUUGUACCAAGUGAAGGGAGAGAGCUUGUAUAGCAUACACUGAUGCUGAACAACAAAUGUAUCUUUGAUGGCCACUGAUGUUAAUCUCUUUCUGAAACACAUUGUAGAAGGCACCUUGGUGCCAUAUAUACUUUCAAGGUGAAGGCUAAAAGAAUUGUAUGUUGUGAAUUUGGUUCCAGAUUUAAUCCCCGGCCAACUGAUCCAAAUGUCUGUGCUUAUUUUGUGUCACAAAUGCUGCCACCUACAAGGAUUCACCAGUUGGGGUCUGAAAACCCAUUAUUGUCUUCUUAAUAUUAUUAAUAGAUAACAUUAUCUUCUAAACAUCAGAAAGGACCUGGUCAUUUACAGCUUUCAACUUGUUACAAUAGUGUAGUGAAUUGUUACACUGCCAUCUAGUGACAGAAGAUUCCAGGAUGUCAGAUGCCUACUAUUUUAUACUCUACUACUGCUUGUUGAGAAUAAGGGUUAGUAAGGUAUAAGGCAAUGCAAACAAAAACUGCAUACCAGUGAGAGAGUAGACAUUAUUGGACUACAGCUCCCAUCAUCCCUGACUAUUGGUCAUGCUGGUUGAGGCUGAUAGUCUAACAACCUUCUGGAGGACAUUAUAUUGGCUCCCCCUGCACUGGGCCAACUAUCUCACAGCCUCAGCCCCACUCCCAAUAACUGGCCUACCUUAGAGGGAGAAGGAUCCAGCUAGUGAAGAGGCACAGUCUCAGAUUGCUUGGGGAAAACCUUGCAGAGGAGUUGGACUUAGGCAGCUGUGGGGAGUCAGGGACCUUCGGUCUUAGCAACUGCUUCAUGGGGGGGAUGAGUCGCUGUGCUCAUGACACUCCUGUGCAGAUCUUGUUUUUGUUAAUAAACUCCAAAUUACUGCUGGCUUGCUCCUGUCACCUAUUAUACAAAGUUAUAAUAUACAUCCAUUACUCCUCCCAAUUUUGUGGAAACAGAAGUAUGGGUGUUUAGGGAACAUACUUAUUAGGGCUCGGAGAGGCAAGAGUGAAAUAAUAAUAUUUAUACAGUGCAUUUCAAAUGUUUGAAGCAUUUUGUAUAUACUAUGUGUGAUGCUUACAGGAGUCCUCAGGUUUCCCCCAAGCUUACUGAGACUGUGCCUCUUCCCCAGCUGGACCCUUCUCUUUCUAACCACUCAUUGUCAUCCUACCACCAACCCCCUGAGCCUUCUUCCCUUGGGGUUCCCCAGCUGCUGUCUCCUACCAUUCCUCUGCAUCCAACUGGUCUGUGACAUCAGGCUAUUUCUAGGGUGGCCAUACGUCUGGAAUUUCCCAGACAUAGCCGGAAUACUGUAGUUGGAAGCAGUGACUUGGCAGAAAUCGCUGAAAUGUUAGGGACGUUUCUCUAUCCUCCAUACAUAUAAACAAGAGGCAUCAUGGGAGUUCAAGGGUACCUUCCAACCAGACACAAAGGAGUGUGGCCUGGGGAGAAUUCUUAGGGCCAAAUAAACGGCCUGGAAUGCCACAUUUAGCCCCUGGCCUGAGUUUUGCCUCUCCUGCUUUACAUCACCUUAACGGAGUCUCACAGUUGCCUGAUCCCUUUGUCUGAUUCAUGGUCUGCAUUGGUUAGGCAAAUCAGUGACAUGAUGCUGACUGUUUAAUUCACUCAUCUGCCACAGGAUGCUGAGUGCUUUAACCAGGGUAACCAGAUGCAUACCUGCCAACAUUUCUCUGGUGAAAAUAGGGACGUCCCAUUCAAUAAUGAUAAUUUUACUAUUUAUACCCCACACAUCUUACUGGGUCCUCCCAGCCACUCUGGGCAGCUUCCAACAUAUAUAAAAACAUAAUAAAGCAUUAAACAUUAAAAAACCUUCUCUAUACAGGAUUGCCUUCAGACGGCUUGGUGGUCGGAUAACUCCAUACCCUCCAACAUUUCUCCAAUGAAAAUAAAGACACCCUAAGGAAAAGUCAUGCUGGCCACAUGACCCAGAAGCUGUAUGCCAGCUCCCUUGGCCAAUAAAGCGAGAUGAGCGCCGCAACCCCAGAUUCGGUCACGACUGGACCUAACGGUCAGGGGUCUCUUUACCUUUAAGGAAAAGUGGGACAUUCUGGAUCAAAUCAGAAACCGGGAUGGCUUCUCCAAAUCAGGGAUGUCUCUUGAAAAUAGGGACACUUGAAGGGUUUGCAGAUGAGUCAAAUAGCUCAGGAGGGUGCACUUUGAUUUGGUGGUAAUGACUAAAUGCAAUGCAUUGCUAUAAAUUAAAUUGUUCGGCAGCUUUUGUUUAUCGUUAGGCGCCACACUCGUCGCUGCAGUGCGGGGCCUGCUGAUAAUUUGUUUUGCAGCUACUCCUAAUUAACUAUGGUGUCUCUUCCUUUUGCCAGGCGCUUUUAAACAAUUUCCCUCCUAUGCCAGCAACUUGACAGGAAGUUAAGAAAGGAAGCUCGCAAGGCCCAGAUUACACAUAAAGCCUGCAGGCAGCUGACAGGCAAUUAUGUCUAAUAAGGUGUUAUGAAAACCACAGCACAGCAGGUGCAGCAAGGAGGAAGAGACAGCCCCCUGCUGGGUUUGCAUAGAGAUCAGAAGGAAAGUUAAGGGAUAGGAACCGAAAAAGCACAUAAAAUAUGAAGCGCUGAGGAAACAGGACAUCCUUAAAGCGGCCGCAACCAUUUGUAAAAGAGGUCCCAGGGUUCAAAAAUACUAAGAUUUUGCAUUGCACACCUCUUAAUUCUAGAUAUGUUUUUUUGUUGGGUCUCCCAAUAUUAUUCAAGGCUCAUUUAUUUAGGGCAGCGCUGUGGGUUAAACCACAGAGCCUAGGACUUGCUGUUCAGAAGGUUGGCGGUUCGAAUCCCCGCGAUGGGGUGAGCUCCCAUUGCUCGGUCCCUGCUCCUGCCCACCUAGCAGUUCGAAAGCACGUCAAAGUGCAAGUAGAUAAAUAGGUACCACUCCGGCGGGAAGGUGAACAGUGUUUCCGUGCGCUGCUCUGGUUCGCCAGAAGCGGCUUAGUCAUGCUGGCCGCAUGACCCGGAAGCUGUACGCCGGCUCCCUCGGCCAAUAAAACGAGAUGAGAGCCGCAACCCCAGAGUCGGCCACGACUGGACCUAAUAGUCAGGGGUUCCUUUACCUUUACCUUUACCCACAAUAGUUAUAGUCUGCCUCCAUGGUAGGGGACAGUAAUAUUUUUGAAUACUUUUGAAGAGGAGGUAGAAGAGAUAGAGGAGAUAUGAUAACCAGCUUUCUUUCUCCUGCUCCGGAGGGUAGGACCUGAACCAAUGGAAUCAAGUUACAAGAAAGGAGAUUCUGACUAAACAUCAGGAAGAACUUCCUGACAAUGAGAGCUGUUUGAAAGUGGGAGGCUGUCAAACCUUCCUUGCAGGUUUUUAAGCAGAGGUUGAGCGGCCAUCUGUCAUGGACACUAGUUGAGAUUCUUGCAUUGCAGGGGGCUGGACUAGAUGAUCCUUGGGGUCCCUUCUAAUUCUAUGAUUCUAUGGCUAUCAGUUGCUCAUUUAUUUAGGGUUUCACCCAUUAGGGCUAUGCUCUGCCUCCAACGUUGGAGACAGCAAUUCUUCUGAAUAUUAGUUACUGGAAACCACAGGAGAGGAGAGUGCUCUUGUGCUUAGCUCCUGCUUGCCUGCUUUCCCAUAGGCAUCUGGUUGGCCACUGUGAGAACAGGAUGUUGGGCUAGAUGGGCCAUUGGUCUGAUCCAGCAGUGAUUUUCUUACGUUCUUAUUUUUUUGCGGCCUUUUCAGAGAAUGGCAGCUGUGGCCAAUUUGUCAGUUUCCAUGCACUGGCUGUCCGUGUAACAAUAUGGGCCUGUGCUAGAGCCAACAUAGGUGUGUAUCUUGCUGUUGCAAGAGCUUCGAAGGAGGUACACAAAAAGCAUAUCCAAACUGGUUUUGCAUGUGCCACUGAUAAACUGAUGAUCAUUAGUGAAGUGAGAGCUCCGGGACAGAACAGGAGGUGCCAUGCUCAAUCCUUGGCAGAGGUGGGGAACAUUUUUCAGCAUGAAGACUUCAUUCCCUUCUGGAGAUCACAUGCCAAUGGUGGGCGGAGCCCAGGGCAAAGGUGGGCGGAGCAAUUAAUGUGAACGUUACCUUCAUGCAAUAGGCUAGUUUCUACACACAGUCACAUGCCCCUCUCUUUCCCCUAUUCAGGCAAGCAAGAGGCCUUAUCAGAGUUCAAGGGCACAUUUCAGCCAGGCAAAAACACUUCACGGGGGCCAAAGCUAGGCCCUGAAAAUCCCUGACAUGUUCUGGGUUUUGGGUGUAAAAAUGGCAUUGGGGAAUUUUGCGAAAUUGGAUGUAUGGCAUGGCAGCACGAUGGGAAAAGCUCCAGAAAGCUCAACAAAUUUGUGGGUGUCAAGAAUUUUACUUUUUCAGAUACGGAAACCCCAGCCAAAGCAUGACUGGGGAGGGAUGUGACCUGGAGAGAGUCUCCAGGGCCAAAUAAAGAAUCCUGGGAGGCUGCAUUUGUCCCUCACCUGGACCUGAGGCUCCCAGUCUGAGUUAAAAGCAUCAGGUAACAUGUACUGGGAAAUAUUUCUGUUUGAGGCCCCAGCGAAUGGCUGUUAAUCACAGAAUCAUAGAACUGUAGUGUUGGAAGGGACCAUGAGGGUCAUCUGGUCACAAGCAUUUGUUCAAAGCUCAUCUGUUUCCCCCCAGUUCAUAACGUGGUGCAUGAAUGCUGAUUUUGCAGCAUGCACGAGCAUUAUCAUAUCUCUCACCUGGAAUUUUAGCAUAAUUAGCUAACUGACUAUUGAAGUGACAGCGGAUGCUCUGUGACACCAUUGCUUGGACAUUCCCUUGGUCUAUCUGUUCACAUAAUCAAGGGUGCAGGACGUUCUAGCGAUGUAGCAGAGGACAACUUGGUAGGACACCUAAAGGAAUAGGACUUGAUGGAAUGGUUUAGACAGGAAAGCAGUUACAUCAGAGAAGAUGUUUAGCAUUGCUAAACCAUCACUAUACUUCUUCAUGUAAUACUUCACUCAAAAAUCAUUACAUGGAAACAAACAGCUUUAAUAACAGCACUGAAAACACUGCCAACUAGAAAUUUGUGUGAUAUUUAAUAGCGCCAUCUGGUGACUCCUCCUCAGUAUUACAAAGCAAUGAAUUAUAAUAUGCUAAGUACUUUGUCAAAAGGGAUGCGGGUGGCGCAGUGGGUUACACUACAGAGCCUAGGGCUUGCCGAUCAAAAGGUCGGCGGUUCGAAUCCCCAUGACGGGGUGAGCUCCUGUUGCUCGGUCCCUGCUCCUGCCAACCUAGCAGUUUGAAAGCACGUCAAAGUGCAAGUAGAUAAAUAGGUACCACUCCGGCAGGAAGGUAAACAGCGUUUCCGUGCGCUGCUCUGGUUUGCCAAAAGCGGCUUAGUCAUGCUGGCCACAUGACCCGGAAGCUGUACGCCGGCUUCCUCGGCCAAUUAAGUGAGAUGAGCGCCGCAACCCCAGAGUCGGUCACGACUGGAGCCAAUGGUCAGGGGUCACUUUACCUUUAAGUACUUUGUCUUGUGGCCAGUUCAGGGACCUUGGUAGCCAUUGGGCUCAGAGGUCAGUUGGGAUCAGGGCCAGAUUUAGGUUUGAUGAGGCCCUAAGCUACUGAAGGUAAUGGGGCCCUUUAUAUGUCCAGCUGUCAUUUGUCAGCAACAAAUUGUCAUUUUUGUGUGUGCUGAAUAUAUGCUAUAUGGGAAUUUAUGGACCUAAUAGGUAUCUAAAGCCCUUUGCAUAUGCAGAAUGCAAACACCCUAUAUAUAGAAAUGAGCAAACUAGUGAUAUUUUAGGGAGCAGGCUACCAGGCAGGGCCCAUUACUUACAUCAUAGGAGCCUACACAACACAAAACACUUGCUGUAUAUAGUUUUUAUUUUAUUUGUUUUUUAUCUUAUAUUUUGGAAAUGUACUUCCAGUUUUUUCCCCUUUAAUUUUUUUGGGGGCCCCCAAGAGAGUGGGGCCCUAAGCUAUAGCUUGUUUAGCUUAUACGUAAAUCUGACACUGGUUGGGAUGCCUGUGUUAACAUUUAGCCUGUGGAUGUUUAAAUGUGCUUUGGAAGGCAUCCCCCCCCCCCCAGUGCAUCCUGCAGUAGUUUAAAAGCUGAGUCAUGUAUAUUAUAGUGGUUGCACACAACUGCUAAAUUAGGGGUAACAUGAACAUAAUGUUCCCAAGGUUGUGCUCCACCCCAAUCUCUGCCAAGUGGUAGCAGAAUUCCAGGGACAUCCAGGCACUUACCCUGGGUCUUGUUUCCAUUGGGAAUCAAGAUGCCACGGAAACUUUUGUGUCUUUAACGAAAUAUGGUGCAUUAACAGAUAUUUACAGCCUGGGUGCAGUUGGGAGAACUGCAGAGUUUACAGAAUUGCAUCUCAAGAGGACUUCGUCCUUCAGCGUUGCAUUCAGAAGCUCUCUAUGCACCUUCUCUGUGCUUCUGCCCCAAUAUCAGGGACCAGCAGGACGCUGACGAAUGUGCACCAGAUGUGGGACUGGAGUCUGAUUCGGGAGAGGGAGUCAGAGAUUUGUGGUGACCUGUACCAGCCAGGAGGCAACAGUCAGAGGCAGGGGAUGCUACAGAGCUGGAAGGUGGAGCACAGGAUGGAUCAGAAGAAGAGGAGGAAGAGAAGCGAAGGACUGGGUGCUUCCUCACCCUCUCCUGUACCACUGCCUCCAGAACCAGGAGGAGAUUGUUUAUGCUGUUGACAGAUAGGGCCAUGAUUAUUAUACUGUAGAAUUCAUUGCAUGGUUAUCUAUAGGGUUGUAACUAUUGACAGUUUUGUUGGUUAUUAUGCUCUCAAUAUGGACCAUUUGUCAUUUUUUAAAAAUUCUUCUGGCUUUUGUUUAAGCCACCUUGAGACCUCUGGUAUAAGGUAAUAGGCAAGUUAAAUUAAUAAAUAAAUUACUCAUGUACAUACACAGCUAAACCUGGAUUUAUUGAGAUACG